UGACCUAUUGCUGCCAGAAGAGAACAGCAGAGGUAUUUCCCUUUCGUUUGCUUUCUCUGAGCAGUCGGGUCCUGUUGAGUCCCACCUCACCCAAUUAUAUGUGUUGGCUCUGGCACUUUUGGGGCCUUCAUGUGAGCCUCUUCCUUUCACUGAGGUGACAAGUAGCUCAUGAGUGUUGUGUUGCUAAUUUGUACUGCUAUUAAAAACCAUGGACAAUAAAUGUAAGCCUCGCUGGUAAUUACCCAGACUGGGAAAAGGUCAUGUAAUGGUUUGUCUACAUUGAGAAAUUUGGGGAAAAAAUAAUCCAAAUUCACACAGAACAAGUAUUUAGAUCACAUUAAAAUCAUGCAUAAACACCAUCAUCUGGAAAUAGUGGGUAAGUCUGAAUAUGUGCCUCAGGGAUGUAACAUGUUAGUCCAUUCAGUGUACUCUUAUUUAUGUUCUAUGGGGCUUCCCUAUAAAAGGGUACUGAGAGGAAUAUGAAUUCAUUUGUUGCUCUUAACUGCUAAAAAAACAGAAAUACACACUUGCUCAUAUGCUGACGGUGCAAACAUAUCUAACGUGCACUUUCAGGGCAAACUCGCAAUCUAAUAGUUUGGCCAUGUGCUUUUUCAGAGUACUGGUGGAAAAGAGGAAUUGCAGGGCCAUGAGUCUGAUUUGAAAUAUCACAAUAUGUUCUAUCUAGUGAUAUUUGCACAUUAUUUUUUAUUAUGAAAAUAAAUAUAAUUCCCUAUAUAACGAGAUCUUUUAGCAGUUACCGCUCAUGUUGUUAAGUGAACCUCAGUUUUAAGUACUGUCUGAAAAUGUACUUUUAUGGGUUAUAUGGAAUACUGCUGUGAGAUUUCUACAAUGAAAAGUUCAAAGUGCUAGAGGCAGGGAAAAAUGGCAUUUAUCUAGUUUGCUUCUUCAACCAUGUGGAAGCUAUAUUAGGCACGUAAACUUUAUACUUUACGCAGCAGUUUCAAAAAGGCAACAAGUUAAAUCUGGGAUCUUUGAAGUAGUGAAUGGUAACAUUCUGUUCUGUGAAAGAGCUGACUUCAAAUAAUCAGACCGAAAGUCGGAAAAAACUGUCAUAGCUAGAGAAAACAAGACAUAAAAAAAAAAAAAAAAAGUGGCAGGGUGUGGAAAUGUAGCCAGAAUAUUGUCCUUGGUUACCUUCCUGAAGCUUUUUACACAUUCUGCACCAGAAUGGUGCAAAGCUACUCUCUUUAAACUCUCCCCAGAUAAAGCUUUCUGAGCCUUCAGCUGGUGUAUCACGCGUGGCAUUUGUUGGAACCAGCAAACUUUGGUUAUGUAGAAAGGCUCCGGGUCUGCUAAGAAAAUGACACCUAUCUUUGACUUUAUGCAUCUGUAAAUGUUUUCAGGAAACAUCAGGUCUUCCAGGUCUUGCUUAAAACUAUUCGGUAGGAUAAGCUCAGCAAUUUAUGUAUGGCACGUGCCACUGUACUGUCCUGAUUAUUGUAAUCUUUUCAUUUAAUUAGAUUUUGGGAUUAAGAACUACCUUGCUGACCAGUGCACCUAAUGUAUGCCGUAUGGGUUCUAGCUGCUACAUGUUUUUAUCUGAAAUUCAUCUGGUAAAGUCAAAAUGAUCUGAAAAGAUUUAAGCAUAAUGUAUCUCUGCCUUACAGGCAAGUUAAGUGGUAGACACGUGGAGCAGGAAAAAAAACCCACACCAAAAAUCCCCCAUGGGACCUUUUGGGAGGUUAAAAUGGAUAAUGACAAACACCUGACAAAAAAUUAGAUAUUAAAAUAGUCUUGUUAGUCUUUGGGUCUUGCAGUGAGCUAUUCAGUCAGCAUACAAUCAUUUAAUGCUUUGAGAUCUCUCUCCAUAGUGGCUUUUAACUGAUUAUCUUCCAGAACAUAGCGGAAGUCUGUUAUUAACUCCCUGGUAUAUAAUCUUGGGUUUUUAAUUUCGUACUAUUGGAUUUCCAGUGAAUUUUAUUCUGUUCUCAGGACUCCAGUUCAUAAAGUCAUUUGUUUUUAUCCUUUGUGCUGAUGAUAAAUCUAACCUUUUCAUCAGCGUAUUUUGAGCCAGUGUCUUUACGGAAACGCUUGAAGAUUAUUGCUCGAACAAGUCCUUAUGGAACUUCACUGGUAAAUUCUUUAACCUGUUACUUCAAGUACAUGAAUUAACUCCUCUCGCUUUCUUUUCAACCAGUUCCUUAGCUAACUUGCCGUUCUCUAUUCAUCUGCUUAUUUUCACUAAUAACUUUGUAUGUCAAGUUCUCAUCAUACAUGGCUUUUCCUUUUUUCUGAAAAAAAGAAGAUUAUCAAGCUAGUUUGACAUACUUUAACUUCAGUAAACACAGGUGGUGUCCCGUUUUCUGUUUGUUUUUUUUUCUUUUAAUUCUUCAUUCUUCCUUUUCUUCAGAUUGUUUUCAUUUGGCCAGAUUCCUGCGGUUAUAUACAAACACCUCAUCAUAUAUCACUGCUGAUCUUUGAGAGAUGAAAACAUCUUUAUAUUUGUAAAUAAUCAGAGCUUUGACACUAAAUGUUUGAGGGAGGAAAUUAACACAGUGUUAAUGUUGCCAAGCUUUCUGGCAGGUGUGUACCACAAAAUGAGACAAUCUUUGAACAGUCUUGCCUCUUUUCCUAGUAAGCUAGCACCUUUUCCUUGGGAAUUAAAAUACCUGUUUGCAUGUUUAUAAUCACAGCGAUUUCUAGUGGAAACAUUCUUUGAUUGAUUGACUGACAGGAGUGGUAACAUGUUUCACACACCUAUAGCGUGAUCUUUAAUCUUCAGGUUUUAUCUAGCCUAGGAGUUGUAGCUAUGCUUUAAUCUUCUGGCUGUAUUAAUCUAGCACACUCAGUGCCCACGUACAGAGCUCUCAGUUAUCUGUCAGGGGUUUCCAAGCUUUUCCAGUUACCAACUGUUGUCAGCUCUCAGUUUUUCUCUGCUGUUGGCCUGGGCCACUUGCAGUGCUGUGCAGACUGAUUUUCACUGCCCAGGAGCCAACAGGACCAAAACCACUAGUAACUUAAAUUUCACUACUUCACUAUGAAUGCUUUGAAUUCUGGCUCUGUAGUGCUUCCACAGUAGCCAUUUUCUGAUUCUUUUGUGACUUAUGUGCUGUAGCAUUGCCUCGCGAUAGACUUGGUUUGUCAGCUGCAAAUACCAAAGCUCUCAUUUGUCUCUCUACCUGAGACAUAAGUGGUGUGCAGUUCCUAAAAUAGAAACAACAGUAAAGGUUUACAAGAAGAUUAAAUUCUCUUGCGAACUUGACAUCGUUCAGAAGAAAGUCUUGUAUACCAUUUCCUGUAGGCCAUAUGUAAGGGAUGAUAAGGGACAAGAAUAAAUCCAGAAGUGUCACUUUCAUGAGGAAAUAACAAGACAGAGCUGCACAAGAGUCUGUUGCUGGUAUGUGGCUCCUAGUAGGCUUUGUGGAUGUGGCCUUGGCAUCUGUAAUCUUUUACGUUCAGGCAGAUGACUUCAUAGUUUUGCCAGAUGCAGGGGUUGGAAGAGCUCCUUUCUGAGUUCCAGCACAUGUGUGGGGCUUUCGGACAGAUACAGUCUGCAAAGGAUACACUGGAAGAUGUGUCAGCCCACACUGGCCCCUUCAGUUCUGUCCAGCUCUGAAUCCCGACACCUUUGCUAAGUGGACAUGUUUCUCAGUCUUCGUGCCAGGAGAGCUGUAGCAGUUAAGGGACGGGCUGCUGGAGUUUUGAAAGAUUGCUGGCCAGAAGCAUGCUCUGUGCAGUCAGAACUUUGGAAACCGCUUCAAGCUGAUGGAGGAGGAUGACAAACGAUUGUGAUGAACAGGCCCUAGGCUCAUCUCAAUAAAAACUGAAGAGAGGGCUGAGGUCCUUUUAGAUUUGGGGUUUUUUUUGUUUUUUGUAAGUAUUUUUAGGAUAAAUGAUAAAUAGAUAUGUAGGGUUUUAUCCUAAAAAUAUUUUUAUUAGUACUACGUUUUUUAAAUUUAAUAAAUUUCAUAAAUAACUUUUAGGAUAAAUAAGACCUUUUAAGGAAAAUUUUUACAGAAAGGUGAGCACUCCCAUUUGCCACGUUCACUGUGUAUCAGUCUCCUCAUCACUGAGUAAAUGACGUGUUCCUGGAUGUGGAGGGCUUGAGUGGAGUGUUUGUAGCAGCAAUGUUAGCUUCUGAUUAGAGCUUAUGUGCUUGACCCUAGUAAUAUGAGCAGUUGAAAUUAAAGUCCUGAAUAAGUGAGUUUUGCUCAUCUCUUUUAUGGGAAUAUACCUCAAAAGUUAGUUAGGCAGAUUGAAACAUGGACUAAAAACAACAUCAGCAAUUAAGGCGCGGUUGUCAAAGGCAGUACAUGGGUUUUAACUGAUAAAUUGCAGGGUUGAUUAAAUGGCUGGGAGCUAUGACAUCUUGAAGAGAAGGAAUAUCAGCUUCUUCUAAAUUCAAGACCCAGCAGGAGCUGGGAGACAUCACCUUGCACAGAGGUAAUGGCAAACACGGAAACAGUUUUAAGGUUCAUGCAAACUUGACUAGAUAGUCUGGACUCCGCUAUCACAGAUGAGGGGAGAGAAGGCUUUUGUUGUUACUGCAAAAAUUGCACUCUCGACCUUCCUUUAAAAUGUAUAUGUAGAACAUCGUAAAUGUUUUGUAAUUUCAUCCUUUCAGAAUUAUUCUGUUGCAGCUGACCUACCGUCUCAAUUUACAAUAAAACUGUUUUGUAGAAUAAAAUGCUGUUUUUGGCA